rnacentral:rRNA from 1 species
AGUGAACGCUGGCGGUAGGCCUAACACAUGCAAGUCGAACGGCAGCACAGUAAGAGCUUGCUCUUACGGGUGGCGAGUGGCGGACGGGUGAGGAAUACAUCGGAAUCUACUUUUUCGUGGGGGAUAACGUAGGGAAACUUACGCUAAUACCGCAUACGACCGACGGGUGAAAGCGGGGGAUCUUCGGACCUUGCGCGAUUGAAUGAGCCGAUGUCGGAUUAGCUAGUUGGCGGGGUAAAGGCCCACCAAGGCGACGAUCCGUAGCUGGUCUGAGAGGAUGAUCAGCCACACUGGAACUGAGACACGGUCCAGACUCCUACGGGAGGCAGCAGUGGGGAAUAUUGGACAAUGGGCGCAAGCCUGAUCCAGCCAUACCGCGUGGGUGAAGAAGGCCUUCGGGUUGUAAAGCCCUUUUGUUGGGAAAGAAAAGCAGCAGGUUAAUACCCCGCUGUUCUGACGGUACCCAAAGAAUAAGCACCGGCUAACUUCGUG